rnacentral:rRNA from 1 species
CAGUAGCCGCGGUAAUACGUAGGGUGCAAGCGUUAAUCGGAAUUACUGGGCGUAAAGCGUGCGCAGGCGGUUUGUUAAGACAGAUGUGAAAUCCCCGGGCUCAACCUGGGAACUGCAUUUGUGACUGGCAAGCUAGGGUAUGGCAGAGGGGGGUGGAAUUCCGCGUGUAGCAGUGAAAUGCGUAGAUAUGCGGAGGAACACCGAUGGCGAAGGCAGCCCCCUGGGCCAAUACUGACGCUCAUGCACGAAAGCGUGGGGAGCAAACAGGAUUAGAUACCCCAGUAGUCCCUGUCUCUUAUAC